UACGUAGGUGGCAAGCGUUAUCCGGAAUUAUUGGGCGUAAAGCGCGCGCAGGCGGUUUCUUAAGUCUGAUGUGAAAGCCCACGGCUCAACCGUGGAGGGUCAUUGGAAACUGGGGAACUUGAGUGCAGAAGAGAAAAGCGGAAUUCCACGUGUAGCGGUGAAAUGCGUAGAGAUGUGGAGGAACACCAGUGGCGAAGGCGGCAUCCUGGACCGAUACUGACGCUGAGGAGCGAAAGCCAGGGGAGCAAACGGG
rnacentral:rRNA from 1 species